UGAACUCCUAUUUCCCAUUCUCAAGUGCA
rnacentral:piRNA from 1 species